UCUGGGAUAAGCCUGGGAAACUGGGUCUAAUACCGGAUAUGACUUCUCAUCGCAUGGUGGGGGGUGGAAAGCUUUUGUGGUUUUGGAUGGACUCGCGGCCUAUCAGCUUGUUGGUGGGGUAAUGGCCUACCAAGGCGACGACGGGUAGCCGGCCUGAGAGGGUGACCGGCCACACUGGGACUGAGACACGGCCCAGACUCCUAGGGAGGCAGCAGUGGGGAAUAUUGCACAAUGGGCGCAAGCCUGAUGCAGCGACGCCGCGUGAGGGAUGACGGCCUUCGGGUUGUAAACCUCUUUCAGUAGGGAAGAAGCCCUCUUUUGGGGGUGACGGUACUUGCAGAAGAAGCGCCGGCUAACUACGUGCCAGCAGCCGCGGUAAUACGUAGGGCGCAAGCGUUAUCCGGAAUUAUUGGGCGUAAAGAGCUCGUAGGCGGUUUGUCGCGUCUGCUGUGAAAGACCGGGGCUCAACUCCGGUUCUGCAGUGGGUACG
rnacentral:rRNA from 1 species